rnacentral:misc_RNA from 1 species
GAUGAAGAACGCAGCAAAAUGCGAUAAGUAAUGUGAAUUGCAGAAUUCAGUGAAUCAUCGAAUCUUUGAACGCACAUUGCGCCCGCCAGUAUUCUGGCGGGCAUGCCUGUUCGAGCGUCAUUUCAACCCUCAAGCCCUCGGGUUUGGUGUUGGGGAUCGGCGAGCCUUUCUGGCAAGCCGGCCCCGAAAUCUAGUGGCGGUCUCGCUGCAGCCUCCAUUGCGUAGUAGUAAAACCCUCGCAACUGGAACGCGGCGCGGCCAAGCCGUUAAACCCCCAACUUCUGAAUGUUGACCUCGGAUCAGGUAGGAAUACCCGCUGAACUUAAGCAUAUCAAUAAGCGUAGGA